rnacentral:rRNA from 1 species
CAGGAUGAACGCUAGCGACAGGCCUAACACAUGCAAGUCGAGGGGCAGCACAAGGAGCAAUCUGAGGUGGCGACCGGCGCACGGGUGAGUAACACGUAUGCAACCUGCCUGUAAGCGGGGAAUAACCCGUUGAAAGACGGACUAAUACCGCAUAAUACUAAAUUACUGCAUGGUAAUUUAUUUAAACAUUUAUGGCUUACAGAUGGGCAUGCGCAUGAUUAGCUAGUUGGAGAGGUAACGGCUCCCCAAGGCAACGAUCAUUAGGGGUUCUGAGAGGAAGGUCCCCCCACACUGGUACUGAGACACGGACCAGACUCCUACGGGAGGCAGCAGUGAGGAAUAUUGGUCAAUGGACGAGAGUCUGAACCAGCCAAGUCGCGUGCAGGAAGAAUUGUCCUAUGGAUUGUAAACUGCUUUUGCAGGGGAAUAAAGUGCAUCACGUGUGAUGUUUUGUAUGUACUCUGCGAAUAAGGAUCGGCUAACUCCGUGCCAGCCGCGGC